UACGGAGGGUGCAAGCGUUAUCCGGAUUCACUGGGUUUAAAGGGUGCGUAGGCGGGUUGGUAAGUCAGUGGUGAAAUCUUCAAGCUUAACUUGGAACUGCCGUUGAUACUAUCAAUCUUGAAUGUUGUGGAGGUAAGCGGAAUAUGUCAUGUAGCGGUGAAAUGCUUAGAUAUGACAUAGAACACCGAUAGCGAAGGCAGCUUGCUACACAAAAAUUGACGCUGAGGCACGGAAAAGCGACUGGGGGAUCAAA
rnacentral:rRNA from 1 species